CACGUAGGGGGCAAGCGUUGUCCGGAUUUAUUGGGCGUAAAGAGCUCGUAGGCGGUUCGGUAAGUUGGGUGUGAAACCUCCAGGCUCAACCUGGAGACGCCACCCGGAUACUGCUGUGACUAGAGUCCGGUAGGGGAGCGUGGAAUUCCUGGUGUAGCGGUGAAAUGCGCAGAUAUCAGGAGGAACACCAGCGGCGAAGGCGGCGCUCUGGGCCGGAACUGACGCUGAGGAGCGAAAGCGUGGGUAGCAAACAGG
rnacentral:rRNA from 1 species